rnacentral:rRNA from 1 species
AACGAACGCUGGCGGCAGGCUUAACACAUGCAAGUCGAGCGCCCCGCAAGGGGAGCGGCAGACGGGUGAGUAACGCGUGGGAACGUACCCUUUGCUACGGAAUAGCUCUGGGAAACUGGAAUUAAUACCGCAUACGCCCUACGGGGGAAAGAUUUAUCGGGGAAGGAUUGGCCCGCGUUGGAUUAGCUAGUUGGUGGGGUAAAGGCCUACUAAGGCGACGAUCCAUAGCUGGUCUGAGAGGAUGAUCAGCCACAUUGGGACUGAGACACGGCCCAAACUCCUACGGGAGGCAGCAGUGGGGAAUAUUGGACAAUGGCGCAAGCUUGAUCCAGCCAUGCCGCGUGAGUGAUGAAGGCCUUAGGGUUGUAAAGCUCUUUCACCGAUGAAGAUAAUGACGGUAGUCGGAGAAGAAGCCCCGGCUAACUUCGUGCCAGCAGCCGCAGUAAGAC